rnacentral:rRNA from 1 species
UACGGGGGGAGCAAGCGUUGUUCGGAUUUACUGGGCGUAAAGGGCGCGUAGGCGGUCGUGACAAGUCACUUGUGAAAUCUCCGGGCUUAACUCGGAACGGUCAAGUGAUACUGUCGGACUAGAGUACAGAAGGGGCAACUGGAAUUCUCGGUGUAGCGGUGAAAUGCGUAGAUAUCGAGAGGAACACCAGCGGCGAAGGCGGCACUCUGGGCUGGUACUGACGCUGAGGAGCGAAAGCGUGGGUAGCGAACAGG